ACUGGGCAUGGUGGUGCACACCUGUAAUCCCAGCUACUCAGGAGGCGGAGACAGGAGGAUCAUGAGUAUGAAGCCAGUCUCAGCAACUUAGGGGAGACCCUGUCUCAC
rnacentral:sRNA from 1 species